UUAUUAUCCCCUUCGUCCGAAAAAACGUGUCACUCAAAUGGAUGUAUCUUGCACCAAGUUAGUGCUAGAUACAUCCAUUUGAGGGACAAACUUGGGACAAGCUUUUUCGGACGGAGGGCAUGUAAC
rnacentral:pre_miRNA from 1 species